rnacentral:rRNA from 1 species
ACGGUAUCGAGCAAGAGCAUAUUUGAUAGGACCCGAAAGAUGGUGAACUUCGCUUGAGUAGGGUGAAGCCAGGGGAAACUCUGGUGAAAGCUCGAAGCGGUACUGACGUGCAAAUCGUUCGUCAAACUUGAGUGAAGGGGCGAAAGACUAAUCGAACCAUCUAGUAGCUGGUUCCCUCUGAAGUUUCUCUCAGGAUAGCUGGAACAAAAACGCAGUUUUAUUAGGUAAAGCGAAUGAUUAGAGGAAUCGGAGUUCAAAGAAUUUUGACCUAUUCUCAAACUUUAAAUUGGUAAGAACCGG